UAGUGACGCUCUGGAAAGUGCCCCGUCCGUUUCGGGCGUGGCCGCCGAAGGUGUAAGCCCGGAUACCCUGCUGCAGGGUGCCGGGGCAAAGCUCUCAGGCUUCCGUGACAGAGGGGGCACC
rfam:Novosphingobium sp. PP1Y main chromosome, complete replicon